UACGUAGGUGGCAAGCGUUGUCCGGAUUUACUGGGCGUAAAGAGCGCGCAGGCGGUCGUUCAAGUCGCGUGUGAAAGCCCCCGGCUCAACUGGGGAGGGUCACGCGAUACUGAUCGACUCGAAGGCAGGAGAGGGUAGUGGAAUUCCCGGUGUAGUGGUGAAAUGCGUAGAUAUCGGGAGGAACACCAGUGGCGAAGGCGACUACCUGGCCUGUUUCUUGACGCUGAGGCGCGAAAGCUAGGGGGGCAAACGGG
rnacentral:rRNA from 1 species